rnacentral:rRNA from 1 species
CCUACGGGUGGCAGCAGUGAGGAAUAUUGGUCAAUGGACGGAAGUCUGAACCAGCCAUGCCGCGUGCAGGAAGACGGCUCUAUGAGUUGUAAACUGCUUUUGUACAAGGGUAAACCUGAAUACGUGUAUUCAGCUGAAAGUACUGUACGAAUAAGGAUCGGCUAACUCCGUGCCAACAGCCGCGGUAAUACGGAGGAUCCAAGCGUUAUCCGGAUGUAUUGGGUUUAAAGGGUGCGUAGGCGGAUUGAUAAGUUAGAGGUGAAAUGUCCGAGCUUAACUCGGGAACUGCCUCUAAUAAUGUUGAUGUAGAGAGUAGAUGCGGUAGGCGGAAUGUAUGGUGUAGCGGUGAAAUGCUUAGAGAGCAUACAGAACACCGAUUGCGAAGGCAGCUUACCAAUCUAUAUCUGACGUUGAGGCACGAAAGCGUGGGGAGCAAACAGGAUUAGAUACCCCAGUAGUC